GCGGGAGUGGUGGAAUUGGGUAGACACGCAGGAUUUAGGUUCCUGUGUCCGUGAGGACGUGGGGGUUCGAGUCCCCUCUCCCGCACCA
rnacentral:tRNA from 3 species